GUCUCAGGCCGUAUCAGCCUGAAGGCGCCCGAUCUCGUCUGAUCUCGGAAGCUAAGCAGGGUCGGGCCUGGUUAGUAUCUUGGAUGGGAGACCACCUGGGAAUCCCGGGUGCGCCGAGGCU
rnacentral:rRNA from 1 species